rnacentral:rRNA from 2 species
UCUGACGGAGCAACGCCGCGUGAGUGAUGAAGGCUCUCGGCGUCGUAAAACUCUGUUGAUAGGGAAGAACAAGUACGAGAGUAAUUGCUCGUACCUUGACGGUACCUAACCAGAAAGCCACGGCUAAAUACGUGCCAGCAGCCGCGGUAAUAAGUAGGUGGCAAGCGUUAUCUGUAAUUAUCGGGCGUAAAGCGCGCGCAGGCGGUUUCUUAAGUAUGAUGUGAAAACCCCCGGCUCAACCGUGGAAGGUCAUUGGAAAAUGGGGAACUUGAGUGCAGAAGAGAAAAGCGGAAUUCCACGUGUAGCGGUGAAAUGCGUAGAGAUUUGGAGGAACACCAGUGGCGAAGGCGGCUUUCUGGUCUGUAACUGACGAUGAGGCGGGAAAGCGGGGGGGGCAAACAAGAUUAGAUACCCUGGUAGUCCCCCCCGUAAACGAUGAGUAAUAAGUGUUAGAGGGUUUCCGCCCUUUAGUGGGGCAGCUAACGCAUUAAGCCCUCCGCCUGGGGAGUACGGUCGCAAGGCUGA